rnacentral:rRNA from 1 species
AGUCUUUUGUUUUUUUAUUAGAGAUGGUUUCUGCUCAAUGUUUGUAAAUAGCCGCAGUAAUUUGACUGUGCAAAGGUAGCAUAAUCAUUUGCCUCAUAAUUGGGGGCUGGAAUGAACGGGGUUACGAAAAUUUAACUGUCUUUUAUUUAGUUUUAUAAUUUGUAUUUAGUGUGAAGAUACACUAAUUUUUUAAGGGGACAAGAAGACCCUUUUGAGCUUUAUUUUUUUCUUUUUUUUAUAUGAGAAAUUAAUUUGGUUGGGGCGACCAAGGAAGGUAUGUUUGUUUAGGAAUCUUCCUUUUUUUAUUCAGAACCAUUAUUUUUGGGAUAUAGAUCUAGUUACCAGAGGGAUAACAGCGUAAUUUUUUUUGAGAGCUCUUAUUAAAAAUAAAGAUUGCGACCUCGAUGUUGACUUAUGGUUUCCUUUUGGUGCAGUAGCUGUUAGGGUAGGUCUGUUCGACCUUUAAUACCUU